rnacentral:pre_miRNA from 1 species
CUAUGAUCCUAUCACUUGUCUGGACCAGUCACUACGCUAUGAUCCUAUCACUUGUCUGGGGUAGUGACUAGUCCAGACAAGUGAUAGGAUCAUAGCGU